CAGUAGCCGCGGUAAUACGUAGGGUGCAAGCGUUAAUCGGAAUUACUGGGCGUAAAGCGUGCGCAGGCGGUUUGUUAAGACAGAUGUGAAAUCCCCGGGCUCAACCUGGGAACUGCAUUUGUGACUGGUAAGCUAGAGUGUGGCAGAGGGGGGUGGAAUUCCGCGUGUAGCAGUGAAAUUCGUAGAUAUUGGGAAGAACACCGGUGGCGAAGGCGGCAACCUGGCUCAUUACUGACGCUCAUGCACGAAAGCGUGGGGAGCAAACAGGAUUAGAUACCCGAGUAGUCCCUGUCUCUUAUAA
rnacentral:rRNA from 1 species